GGACUACCCGGGUAUCUAAUCCUGUUUGCUACCCACGCUUUCGUGCCUUAGUGUCAGGAACGAGCCAGUAAUCUGCCUACGCCAUCGGUGUUCCUCCUAAUAUCAACGGAUUUUACCCCUACAUCAGGAAUUCCAAUUACCUCUCUCGCCCUCUAGCUCCGUAGUUUUGCUAAUGUGUAUUCGGUUGAGCCGAACGCUUUCACUAGCAACUUACGAUGCCACCUACGCAACUCUUUACGCCCAGUAAUUCCGGAUAACGCUUGGAUCCUCCGUAUUACCGCGGCGGCUGGCAC
rnacentral:rRNA from 1 species